rnacentral:rRNA from 1 species
CCUACGGGAGGCAGCAGUGGGGAAUUUUGGACAAUGGGCGCAAGCCUGAUCCAGCAAUGCCGCGUGAGUGAAGAAGGCCUUCGGGUUGUAAAGCUCUUUUGUCAGGGAAGAAACGGGUCUUUCUAAUACAGAGGCCUAAUGACGGUACCUGAAGAAUAAGCACCGGCUAACUACGUGCCAGCAGCCGCGGUAAUACGUAGGGUGCAAGCGUUAAUCGGAAUUACUGGGCGUAAAGCGUGCGCAGGCGGUUUUGUAAGUUUGUCGUGAAAUCCCCGGGCUCAACCUGGGAAUGGCGAUGAAGACUGCAAGGCUAGAGUUUGGCAGAGGGGGGUAGAAUUCCACGUGUAGCAGUGAAAUGCGUAGAUAUGUGGAGGAACACCGAUGGCGAAGGCAGCCCCCUGGGUCAAAACUGACGCUCAUGCACGAAAGCGUGGGGAGCAAACAGGAUUAGAUACCCUGGUAGUCCACGCCCUAAACGAUGUCUACUAGUUGUCGGGUCUUAAUUGACUUGGUAACGCAGCUACGCGUGAGACAGACCGCCGUCGGGAGGUACGGUCGGCGAGAAGUUAAAACGUUAAAAGGUAAGUUAGACGGCGUGAGACGUGCCGACGGACGACGACGAGGGAGGUUAGG